CAAUAGCGUAUAUUAAAGUUGUUGCGGUAAAAAAGCUCGUAGUUGGAUUUCUACCGAAGAUAGCCGGUCGGGUCUUCGACCUUGUAUCUGGUUUUGUCUUUGGUAUCCUCAUAGGGAACGUUUCUGCGCUUUAUUGCGUGGUGCGGUAUCUAUGACUUUUACUUUGAGGAAAUUAGAGUGUUCACGGCAGGCAAACGCCUUGAAUAUAUUAGCAUGGAAUAAUAACAUAGGAUCUUCGUCCUAUUUUGUUGGUUUCUAGGGCUAAGAUAAUGAUUAAUAGGGAUAAUUGGGGGCAUCUGUAUCAACGCGUCAGAGGUGGAAUUCUUGGAUGGCGUUGCGACAAACUACUGCGAAAGCAUUUGCCAAGGAUGUUUUCAUUGA
rnacentral:rRNA from 1 species